UCCUACGGGAGGCAGCAGUGGGGAAUAUUGCGCAAUGGGGGGAACCCUGACGCAGCCAUGCCGCGUGAAUGAAGAAGGCCUUCGGGUUGUAAAGUUCUUUCGGUAAUGAGGAAGGGAUGUUGUUAAAUAGAUAGCAUCAUUGACGUUAAUUACAGAAGAAGCACCGGCUAACUCCGUGCCAGCAGCCGCGGUAAUACGGAGGGUGCGAGCGUUAAUCGGAAUAACUGGGCGUAAAGGGCACGCAGGCGGACUUUUAAGUGAGAUGUGAAAUCCCCGAGCUUAACUUGGGAACUGCAUUUCAGACUGGGAGUCUAGAGUACUUUAGGGAGGGGUAGAAUUCCACGUGUAGCGGUGAAAUGCGUAGAGAUGUGGAGGAAUACCGAAGGCGAAGGCAGCCCCUUGGGAAUGUACUGACGCUCACGUGCGAAAGCGUGGGGAGCAAACAGGAUUAGAUACCCUGGUAGUCC
rnacentral:rRNA from 1 species